UGAGUAAUGCUUAGGAAUCUGCCUAUUAGUGGGGGACAACAUCUCGAAAGGGAUGCUAAUACCGCAUACGUCCUACGGGAGAAAGCAGGGGAUCUUCGGACCUUGCGCUAAUAGAUGAGCCUAAGUCGGAUUAGCUAGUUGGUGGGGUAAAGGCCUACCAAGGCGACGAUCUGUAGCGGGUCUGAGAGGAUGAUCCGCCACACUGGGACUGAGACACGGCCCAGACUCCUACGGGAGGCAGCAGUGGGGAAUAUUGGACAAUGGGGGGAACCCUGAUCCAGCCAUGCCGCGUGUGUGAAGAAGGCCUUAUGGUUGUAAAGCACUUUAAGCGAGGAGGAGGCUACUCUAGUUAAUACCUAGGGAUAGUGGACGUUACUCGCAGAAUAAGCACCGGCUAACUCUGUGCCAGCAGCCGCGGUAAUACAGAGGGUGCGAGCGUUAAUCGGAUUUACUGGGCGUAAAGCGUGCGUAGGCG
rnacentral:rRNA from 1 species